rnacentral:rRNA from 1 species
CGAAUGGGGAAACCCAGUGUGAUUCGUCACACUAUCGUUAACUGAAUACAUAGGUUAACGAGGCGAACCGGGGGAACUGAAACAUCUAAGUACCCCGAGGAAAAGAAAUCAACCGAGAUUCCCCCAGUAGCGGCGAGCGAACGGGGAGCAGCCCAGAGUCUGAAUCAGCUUGUGUGUUAGUGGAACGGUCUGGAAAGUCCGACGGUACAGGGUGAUAGUCCCGUACACCAAAAUGCACAGGUUGUGAACUCGAAGAGUAGGGCGGGACACGUGGUAUCCUGUCUGAAUAUGGGGGGACCAUCCUCCAAGGCUAAAUACUCCUGACUGACCGAUAGUGAACCAGUACCGUGAGGGAAAGGCGAAAAGAACCCCGGCGAGGGGAGUGAAAAAGAACCUGAAACCGUGUACGUACAAGCAGUGGGAGCACCUUCGGGUGUGACUGCGUACCUUUUGUAUAAUGGGUCAGCGACUUAUAUUCUGUAGCAAGGUUAACCGUAUAGGGGAGCCGCAGGGAAACCGAGUCUUAACUGGGCGUUAAGUUGCAGGGUAUAGACCCGAAACCCGGUGAUCUAGCCAUGGGCAGGUUGAAGGUUGGGUAACACUAACUGGAGGACCGAACCGACUAAUGUUGAAAAAUUAGCGGAUGACUUGUGGCUGGGGGUGAAAGGCCAAUCAAACCGGGAGAUAGCUGGUUCUCCCCGAAAGCUAUUUAGGUAGCGCCUCGUGAACUCAUCUUCGGGGGUAGAGCACUGUUUCGGCUAGGGGGUCAUCCCGACUUACCAACCCGAUGCAAACUACGAAUACCGAAGAAUGUUAUCACGGGAGACACACGGCGGGUGCUAACGUCCGUCGUGAAGAGGGAAACAACCCAGACCGCCAGCUAAGGUCCCAAAGUCAUGGUUAAGUGGGAAACGAUGUGGGAAGGCACAGACAGCCAGGAUGUUGGCUUAGAAGCAGCCAUCAUUUAAAGAAAGCGUAAUAGCUCACUGGUCGAGUCGGCCUGCGCGGAAGAUGUAACGGGGCUAAACCAUGCACCGAAGCUGCGGCAGCGACACUAUGUGUUGUUGGGUAGGGGAGCGUUCUGUAAGCCUGCGAAGGUGACCUGUGAGGGUUGCUGGAGGUAUCAGAAGUGCGAAUGCUGACAUAAGUAACGAUAAAGCGGGUGAAAAGCCCGCUCGCCGGAAGACCAAGGGUUCCUGUCCAACGUUAAUCGGGGCAGGGUGAGUCGACCCCUAAGGCGAGGCCGAAAGGCGUAGUCGAUGGGAAACAGGUUAAUAUUCCUGUACUUGGUGUUACUGCGAAGGGGGGACGGAGAAGGCUAUGUUAGCCGGGCGACGGUUGUCCCGGUUUAAGCAUGUAGGCUGAUUAUCCAGGCAAAUCCGGAUAAUCAAGGCUGAGGUGUGAUGACGAGGCACUACGGUGCUGAAGUAACAAAUGCCCUGCUUCCAGGAAAAGCCUCUAAGCAUCAGGUAACAUUAAAUCGUACCCCAAACCGACACAGGUGGUCAGGUAGAGAAUACCAAGGCGCUUGAGAGAACUCGGGUGAAGGAACUAGGCAAAAUGGUGCCGUAACUUCGGGAGAAGGCACGCUGGUGUGUAGGUGAAGUCCCUGCGGAUGGAGCUGAGACCAGUCGAAGAUACCAGCUGGCUGCAACUGUUUAUUAAAAACACAGCACUGUGCAAACACGAAAGUGGACGUAUACGGUGUGACGCCUGCCCGGUGCCGGAAGGUUAAUUGAUGGGGUUAUCCGUAAGGAGAAGCUCUUGAUCGAAGCCCCGGUAAACGGCGGCCGUAACUAUAACGGUCCUAAGGUAGCGAAAUUCCUUGUCGGGUAAGUUCCGACCUGCACGAAUGGCGUAAUGAUGGCCAGGCUGUCUCCACCCGAGACUCAGUGAAAUUGAACUCGCUGUGAAGAUGCAGUGUACCCGCGGCAAGACGGAAAGACCCCGUGAACCUUUACUAUAGCUUGACACUGAACAUUGAGCCUUGAUGUGUAGGAUAGGUGGGAGGCUUUGAAGCGUGGACGCCAGUCUGCGUGGAGCCAACCUUGAAAUACCACCCUUUAAUGUUUGAUGUUCUAACGUUGGCCCCUUACCGGGGUUGCGGACAGUGUCUGGUGGGUAGUUUGACUGGGGCGGUCUCCUCCCAAAGCGUAACGGAGGAGCACGAAGGUUAGCUAAUCCUGGUCGGACAUCAGGAGGUUAGUGCAAUGGCAUAAGCUAGCUUGACUGCGAGCGUGACGGCGCGAGCAGGUGCGAAAGCAGGUCAUAGUGAUCCGGUGGUUCUGAAUGGAAGGGCCAUCGCUCAACGGAUAAAAGGUACUCCGGGGAUAACAGGCUGAUACCGCCCAAGAGUUCAUAUCGACGGCGGUGUUUGGCACCUCGAUGUCGGCUCAUCACAUCCUGGGGCUGAAGUAGGUCCCAAGGGUAUGGCUGUUCGCCAUUUAAAGUGGUACGCGAGCUGGGUUUAGAACGUCGUGAGACAGUUCGGUCCCUAUCUGCCGUGGGCGCUGGAGAAUUGAGGGGGGCUGCUCCUAGUACGAGAGGACCGGAGUGGACGCAUCACUGGUGUUCGGGUUGUCAUGCCAAUGGCACUGCCCGGUAGCUAAAUGCGGAAGAGAUAAGUGCUGAAAGCAUCUAAGCACGAAACUUGCCCCGAGAUGAGUUCUCCCUGAGACUUUAAGUCUCCUGAAGGAACGUUAAAGACGAUGACGUUGAUAGGCCGGGUGUGUAAGCGCAGCGAUGCGUUGAGCUAACCGGUACUAAUGAACCGUGAGGCUUAACCUU